UAUUGCUUAUUAAGAAUUUGUGCUC
rnacentral:miRNA from 1 species